AACGAACGCUGGCGGCAUGCCUAACACAUGCAAGUCGAACGAGACCUUCGGGUCUAGUGGCGCACGGGUGCGUAACGCGUGGGAACCUGCCCUUAGGUUCGGAAUAACUCCCUGAAAGGGGUGCUAAUACCGGAUAAUGUCUUCGGACCAAAGAUUUAUCGCCUUUGGAUGGGCCCGCGUUGGAUUAGCUAGUUGGUAGUGUAAAAGCCUACCAAGGCGACGAUCCAUAGCUGGUCGGUGAGGAUGAUCAGCCACGCUGGGACUGAGACACGGCCCAGACUCCGACGGGAGGCAGCAGAGGGGAAUAUUGUACAAUGAGCGAUAGCCUGAUCCAGCAGUGCCGCGUGAGUGAUGAAGGCCUUAGGGUUGUAAAGCUCUUUUAGCCGGGAUGUUAAUGACAGUACCGGGAGAAUAAGCACCGGCUAACUCCGUG
rnacentral:rRNA from 1 species